rnacentral:rRNA from 1 species
AGUGAACGCUGGCGGUAGGCCUAACACAUGCAAGUCGAACGGCAGCACAGUAAGAGCUUGCUCUUACGGGUGGCGAGUGGCGGACGGGUGAGGAAUACAUCGGAAUCUACUUUUUCGUGGGGGAUAACGUAGGGAAACUUACGCUAAUACCGCAUACGACCUACGGGUGAAAGCAGGGGAUCUUCGGACCUUGCGCGAUUGAAUGAGCCGAUGUCGGAUUAGCUAGUUGGCGGGGUAAAGGCCCACCAAGGCGACGAUCCGUAGCUGGUCUGAGAGGAUGAUCAGGCACACUGGAAGUGACACAAGGUCCAGACUCCUACGGUAGGCAGCAGUGUGGAAUAUUGGACAAUGGGCGCAAGCCUGAUCCAGCCAUACCGCGUGUGUGAAGAAGGACUUCGGGUUGUAAAGCCCUUUUGUUGGGAAAGAAAAGCAGCAGGUUAAUACCCCGCUGUUCUGACGGUACCCAAAGAAUAAGCACCGGCUAACUUCGUU